rnacentral:rRNA from 1 species
UCCCUACGGGGGGCAGCAGUGGGGGAUAUUGCACAAUGGGGGGAACCCUGAUGCAGCGACGCCGCGUGGGUGAAGGAGCGUUUCGGCGCGUAAAGCCCUAUCGGCAGGGAAGAAGAUGACGGUACCUGAGGAGGAAGCCACGGCUAACUACGUGCCAGCAGCCACGGUAAUACGUAGGUGGCGAGCGUUGUCCGGAUUUACUGGGCGUAAAGGGAGCGUAGGCGGACUUUUAAGUGAGAUGUGAAAUACUCGGGCUCAACUUGAGUGCUGCAUUUCAAACUGGAAGUCUAGAGUGCAGGAGAGGG